CUCUAAUGUGUCAAAUGUAUGUAGUGAAUUUAUCUUAAAAUUUUCAGGACUAGAUGUUAACACAUGCAUUUAGAAAAAAAAUGUGUUUAAAAUAGUUGGCCUGUAAUAGAUUUUAAAAUGUAUAUGGUUUUAGGAAAAGAGAAAUUAUUUUUGCUGAUAAAAUUCAUAUUUAUAGAUUUCAUUUAGUGAUGUGAUAAUUCGUUUGAGUGUUGAAUUACCUAAACAUUGUUAAGAAAUGACACUUAUGUGUUUACAUAUCUUAUAGAAAUGUAAAAUACAAUAUAUAUUUACAAAUAUGAGUGUAUAGUCUACCAUGAUGUCUUUCAGCUACUAAAUUAUGAGUGUAACUCAAGCAUAAAACUUAAGGUGUCACUUUUGAAAAUUAUGUAUAUUGUAUGAAGAGCAUGUACUUUUAUUUUUCUGGCCACAGAUAUUUGUGUAUAUUUUUCCAGAAGAUACCUCAAAAUUACAUGGGUAUAUAUCCAUCUGAUACCUGGCAAAAUGUAACAUUGUAAGGAAUGAGCUAUUUUUAUCAAACAGCUUGUAUUUCUACAGGUGUAAAUAUCAUGUAAAUAUCAUUGUCUUUUACAAUUUAUAUGACCAACUCAUUGUUUCUAAGGGGGAAACAUAGAGCUCAGUGUUUCAUAUUUGUUUGAAUGCCAGAGGAGAAAGUUAAACACUAUGCAUUUUCUACUCCAUCCUCCUAGUAGCCUAGUUGACCUUUUUUUCUACUUUUUGUCAAAUUUCAUGAAGAUUUUGUACUACCUCUUAGGACACUGCAAAGUUUUGUAUGUGUUUCCUGGUUGCAUGACAAUAUUCAAGACAACUUUGUAAAUAUUGAAAUACAGCAUUUGAAGGUCUUGUUUGUCAAGACGAAUAGAGUGCCACAGGGUAUAAAUUUGUGAGUACAUCAUUGGAAACCUUUGCUUCUUUUCAUUUCUGGUGUGAAAUUUCUGGUGGAGAAUUUAUCGCAUUUUAUGUUUAUUACUUAUUGAUGGUAGAGUAAUAAGAUUUAAUUUUAACUUUGGCUACUGAUCUCAAGGUUAUUCAUCAUUUCCCAUAGGAUAAUUAAGGUUUAUGGUACAUGAAAGGGCAUAAAUCUUCAUUCUGUGCCUCUAGUAAUGAUAGACUAUUAAUGUAAAUAUUUCUUCUACCUCCUUGAAUUAAUACAUUAUUAUAUUCACAUUGCAUGACAGCUUUCAUGACAAGUUGUAAAUAACUGAUACAUCUUUCCAUUUGAAAAAUGCAUUUUCAGAUGCAUAUUCAUAACAAAAGAUAAACCUGUAAAUAUUACAUUGUAAUAUAACAUUAAUGAAGCAUUGUAGCAAAUGCUUUUUUCAAGGAAAAAGAUAAGUACUACUCAGUGUAUUAAGUAUAAAAUUCUGAGUAAGCUAUUUUUGCUUGGAGAAAAAUUACUUAAAGAAAAUUAGAUUUAUUUUCAUGUAUUGUGAUGAGUAAUUUAAAUUUUGAGUUAAGUUGAGAAUUGCUAAAAGCAGUUUCUUGACUAACCAAGGCACAUUUGUUUUUUCAUAUGUAAUUGUAUUUUUUCACAUACAUUAUAGUAGUAAUGUGUAAUGUUUGAUGUUUUUAACCUGUAUUCCAACUUUACAAAUUAUAAAAUAACUUUUCAUUUCUAGUUCAGAUGAGUUUGCAAUCUCAGUGCUAUUACUAGACACGUUUUGUGAUAAUAAAGAGCCUAUAACUUUGUAAAUUUAUAAUUUUUGCUUUCUGAGAUACGGUUUCAAUACAUAAAAGUUUAAAAAUUGCUUAAUAUUUAUAUAUAUUUUUCAUCAGAGAUUAUUAAAGUUGGAUAUCUAUUGUUCCCUCUGAAGUACUUUAAGAAAAAGUAGGCUGUAUGAUAUAUAAGGCAAUAUUAGUUACGUGGUAGAGUUCGGCUGUAUGCGGAACAUCAACCAGCACCUGCCAGAAGAGACCAUGCACAGCUGCACAUCCAUUUGAGACAUCCUGGGCUAUCAAGAUACUGUCAGCAGAAAGUAUGGAAGCAGAAGAACUGAACCCCUCCCUACAGGAACAUAAGAAUAUGUAUUUUAUCAUUUCAGCUUCUCAAAUUUAAUAACACAAGGCCUGUAGCUUAGGACGUUAUAUCAUAAACAUUUAAAAUGUUGAUUUUCAAUAGAAGUGGGAUUUGUGGUAUUGUAAUUGGAGAAAAGAACAAUUUACUUAUAGAUACAUUUUAGUUUUUCAAACUAAGGUAUGUAAUUAAGAAUACUAAUAACACAUGGGUGAUUGAUUUGUUUAAGGUAGACAAUGUAUAUCUUUGAAAUUGCCACCUAGAAUAAAUGAAAAAUUUAGGAAAACAGAAAACAUGUUCAAGAAGGAUGUUAAAUUUUUAUUACCUCUAAAGAGAAAGGAGUAAGACAACUUCUGUCUUUGUAUGUUUUAAGGCCUUUGCUAAUAAGCAUCUUAACAAAAAGAAAUAGACCUUUUUUUCCCAGUAGCUUUGAUUAUCAACAUCCCAGGAGUGAUGGGUUGCCUUAUCCCAAAGUUCUGUUUUUGAACACUCGAGGAUCUCAUGUGACAGCAAAGAGUAUUGCAUUAGCCACGAGGUCAUGACGACAGAUGUCUUAAAUCUACGUUUGUGAUCAACUUUUGGAGUCGAAGACAAAUUACUUUUAAAGUGUUAUCUGCAGCCUAGAGGUAGUCACCAAAAUGGAUAAUCAUUGUUUGUACAAGAUUCCUAAUUGGAAAAAGGUCUAGAAGGUGUGGCGUGAAUGCUCUUACCAAUCAUUAAAACUGAACUAGCUAUUUGGAUGGAGACUGGAAGAUGUCUUUGAAGACUUUCAUAUCUAUUUAAAGACUUUUACUGUUUCUGAUGGACUAACUUCAAGAAAAGUAUGAUGACACUGACAUUAACUUCUUCAGUGUUUUCGGCGCUGCUCAUAAUGACUGCAGGGUAAUUUUGAAGCUGACUUAAAGUUCAGUUAUAACUGAUCAUAAAUUCAUAAAGAACUUUUACCUUGUUUUGUCUUUUCAAAUGGUUUGACUUCAUAGCAUAGCCUGAGUUGUACUGAGCUAAAACAGUAUUGUAUGAAACAUUUUUAGUUACUUUUUGUUGAUUUUUUUUUUUCUAUUUCUCAUGUACAUUAGAUCCAUGUAUGUCUUUCUUGGUCCUCAUUGUUUAGGUUCUCUGAUAUUGUCAUCUGUAGGCUUGUUUUCAUUGCUUUAUGUUUAAAUAUCACUUAUGAGACAUGUAAUAAUUGUCUUUCUUUGUCUGGGUUACCUCAUUUAAUGUUUUCUACUCCAUCCAUUUGCCUGCAUAUUUCAAGAUGUCAUUUUUUUGUUGUGUAGUACUCCAUUGUGUAAUUGUACCACAUUUUCCUUAUCCAUUCUUCAUUUGAGGGCCAGUUAGGUUGCAUGAAGCUCUUUUAUUACCUUUAAAAUUCAUCAAGAUUUUAACAUACAGUGAGUUCUGUUACUUUGGGGAGCAUUUUUUAUAAAUAUAUGACUGCAUCUUUUAUCUGUUGAGAGUAGCUGUAUAUUUUCUACGUCGCACUGAUUCUUAUAAAAAUACGAAUCUUAGAGCUAUUUCAUAAUUUCUUUUGUUUUCAUGUACCAUGGCAAAGUAUAUAAAAUCUAAAUUUGAGUAAGUGUAUUUGAUAAUUUACUAAAAUUAUCAAUAUUUUCAUUAGCAGUGGUACAUGUAUUUGUCUUAAUAUAAUAUUAUAAAGUGCUAUUUAUUAAAUAUCAUUAAAUCAUGCUAUUUCAUUUAUUUGUUAUUGUUUUGAAUUUCCAUACUGAGUGUCUCUCUUAUUUAUAACUUCAUUUAUAAAUGAGUCUGUAAACAAGUCAUGUAUGUCAAAUAAAAUACUGUAUGUUUUGUA